rnacentral:misc_RNA from 1 species
UACGGAGGGUGCGAGCGUUAAUCGGAAUUACUGGGCGUAAAGCGCGCGUAGGCGGCUUGAUAAGCCGGCUGUGAAAGCCUCGGGCUCAACUUGGGACCGGCAUCCGGAACUGUCAGGCUAGAGUGCAGGAGAGGAAGGUAGAAUUCCCGGUGUAGCGGUGAAAUGCGUAGAGAUCGGGAGGAAUACCAGUGGCGAAGGCGGCCUUCUGGACAGACACUGACGCUGAGGUGCGAAAGCGGGGGUAGCAAACAGG